rnacentral:tRNA from 1 species
GGCCCUGGAGUGUCAUCACGUGUGGUUGCAAACCAUAAAAAGCAGAAUAAUUUCCUGCCGGGGCUU